GUUCUACGCCAAGGUGUCACCCAAGGAAAGAGUGAAUUUUAUUUCAGAAGAUUCAGAUACAGGUGACCCAAUCACAUAUGCUGAGGUGAAUGUGAAAUGGAGAUCUGAGAGACCUGACAGCACACCCAAAAUUACACAAUCAGUGACCUGCUCGGAGAACUCCCCCUGGUGCUACGCUGUCUUCACCCUGCUCUUCUGCGCCGUGCUUCUGCUGGUCACGGUCAUCCUGCUGGCGGUGAAAUGUUACAGCCGCUGACCCUGCUGCCACGCAGGAUAAGUCAGCGCAGGAACGUUCUGCUUCUUCAACAGGAUGUAGUGCUUGUUUUAUUUGACAUUAUUUUGGCUGAAGAGACAAAAUGAAGACGUGCCAUCAGUCUGAUCACUCUCCAGUUAUGUCAUCCCAGAUCUCUGUUAAAUCUCUGAACUCUCCAUAUGUGGACAAGACAUAUAUCCAUUUAUUUGGAAUUUUCUUAAUCCUGUCAUUUCAGCAACCAUCCAACUAUAUCAGUGCAUGCAUCAAUACAUGGGGUCAAACUCCUGCAUCAAAAGGUGGAGUUUGGCCUAGUUUAGACAAUAAAAAUGACCAGGUGGAGACAUACAUUUAAUUCACAUCUGACUUGAUUCUGCAAUCACUUGAUGUGCAAUACAGAUAAGCUUUUGGUUAUAUGCAAGUGCAGAAACUCAUGGACUAAAAAAUGAAUGUGGAAUGUCGCACUGAGAUUUUUUUAUAAAGCCUAGGCUAGGACUUGAUUUUUCUUCUGACAGCUGUUAGCUGGAUUUGUAUGAAUGGGAUAUUGAAGGUUUGAGAAACUAAAUGCUGUUAGUAGAGAAGUCUCAGUUUCAUCUCCUCAUUGGCUUGAAUUAAAUUUUUCUGUUCCACUUGUCCAGAAGAGCAUCUCACAAUACCCUGUUUCUGUCUUGGGGCAGUAAUUUGAUUUUUGUAUUUGUUUGGGGUUUCUUUUCCUCAUCUGCUUCAGUUAAAACUGAAUCCUCCACUGGAACUGGGGCACCUGAGAUUCAAAUGCAUUUGUUUGUUAUUAUGACCUUAUUGUCUGCUUUUAUAUUGUUUUAGUAUCUUAUCCAUUAUAACAUCUUCAUGGCAGGCUGCAGAGGAUUUGCAGACCCCGAGUAGGGGGAGUCUGUACAGCAAAUAUUUCUAGAAUAUUUCUUGUAUCUAAACUUACCUGUACUUUAGCUGCUGUUGCUAAUGUACCCCAUCUUUAUAAUAUAUAUAUAUAUAUGCACAGAAGUCAAUAAAGAAAUUUAGUAAAGCAC